AGAACGAACGCUGGCGGCAGGCUUAACACAUGCAAGUCGAACGCUCGUAGCAAUACGGGAGUGGCAGACGGGUGAGUAACGCGUGGGAACAUACCCUCCGGUUCGGAAUAGCUCAGGGAAACUUGGAUUAAUACCGGAUACGGCCGAGAGGCGAAAGAUUUAUCGCCGAAGGAUUGGCCCGCGUCCGAUUAGCUAGUUGGUGAGGUAAUGGCUCACCAAGGCGACGAUCGGUAGCUGGUCUGAGAGGAUGAUCAGCCACAUUGGGACUGAGACACGGCCCAAACUCCUACGGGAGGCAGCAGUGGGAAUAUUGGACAAUGGGCGCAAGCCUGAUCCAGCCAUGCCGCGUGAGUGAUGACGGCCUUAGGGUUGUAAAGCUCUUUCGUCAGGGACGAUAAUGACGGUACCUGAAGAAGAAGCCCCGGCUAACUUCGUGCCAGCAGCCGC
rnacentral:rRNA from 1 species